UACGGGGGGAGCAAGCGUUGUUCGGAUUUACUGGGCGUAAAGCGCGCGUAGGCGGACCUGCAAGUCGGGGGUGAAAGCCCGAGGCUCAACCUCGGAACUGCCUUCGAUACUGCGGGUCUCGAGUCCGGGAGAGGUGAGUGGAAUUCCUAGUGUAGAGGUGAAAUUCGUAGAUAUUAGGAAGAACACCAGUGGCGAAGGCGGCUCACUGGCCCGGUACUGACGCUGAGGCGCGAAAGCGUGGGGAGCAAACAGG
rnacentral:rRNA from 1 species